GGCAGCCAGCGCAGGGGCUUCUGCUGAGGGCGCAGGCGGAGCUUGAGGAAACCGCAGAUAAGUUUUUUUCACUUUGAAAGAUAGAGAUUAAUACAACUACUUAAAAAAUAUAGUCAAUAGGUUACUAAGAUAUUGCUUAGCGUUAAGCUUUUAACGUAAUUUUAAUAGCUUAAGAUUUUAAGAGAAAAUAUGAAGACUUAGAAGAGUAGCAUGACGAAGGAAAAGAUAAAAGAUUUCUAAAACAUGACGGAGGUUGAGAUGAAGCUUCUUCAUGGAGUAAAAAAUGUAUUUAAAAGAAAAUUGAGAGAAAGGACUACAGAGCCCUGAAUUAAUACCAAUAGAAGGGCAAUGCUUUUAGAUUAAAAUGAAGGUGACUUAAACAGCUUAAAGUUUACUUUAAAAGUUGUAGGUGAUUAAAAUAAUUUGAAGGCGAUCUUUUAAAAAGAGAUUAAACCGAAGGUGAUUAAAAGACCUUGAAAUCCAUGACGCAGGGAGAAUUGCGUCAUUUAAAGCCUAGUUAACGCAUUUAAACGCAGACGAAAAUGGAAAGAUUAGUUGGGAGUGGUAGGAUGAAACGAUUUGGAGAAGAUAGAAGUUUGAAGUGGAAAACUGGAAGACAGAAGUACAGGAAGGCGGAGAAAAGAAUAGAGAAGAUAGGGAAAUUAGAAGAUAAAAACAUACUUUUAGAAGAAAAAAGAUAAAUUUAAACCUGAAAAGUAGGAAGCAGAAGAAAAAAGACAAGCUAGGAAACAAAAAACUAAGGGCAAAAUGUACAAACUUAGAAGAAAAUUGGAAGAUAGAAACAAGAUAGAAAAUGAAAAUAUUGUCAAGAGUUUCAGAUAGAAAAUGAAAAACAAGCUAAGACAAGUAUUGGAGAAGUAUAGAAGAUAGAAAAAUAUAAAGCCAAAAAUUGGAUAAAAUAGCACUGAAAAAGUGAGGAAAUUAUUGGUAACCAAUUUAUUUUAAAAGCCCAUCAAUUUAAUUUCUGGUGGUGCAGAAGUUAGAAGGUAAAGCUUGAGAAGAUGAGGGUGUUUACGUAGACCAGAACCAAUUUAGAAGAAUACUUGAAGCUAGAAGGGGAAGUUGGUUAAAAAUCACAUCAAAAAAGGACUGGUGUAAUUUAAAAAAAAACUAAGGCAGAAGGCUUUUGGAAGAGUUAGAAGAAUUUGGAAGGCCUUAAAUAUAGUAGCUUAGUUUGAAAAAUGUGAAGGACUUUCGUAACGGAAGUAAUUCAAGAUCAAGAGUAAUUACCAACUUAAUGUUUUUGCAUUGGACUUUGAGUUAAGAUUAUUUUUUAAAUCCUGAGGACUAGCAUUAAUUGACAGCUGACCCAGGUGCUACACAGAAGUGGAUUCAGUGAAUCUAGGAAGACAGCAGCAGACAGGAUUCCGGGAACCAGUGUUUGAUGAAGCUAGGACUGAGGAGCAAGCGAGCAAGCAGCAGUUCGUGGUGAAGAUAGGAAAAGAGUCCAGGAGCCAGUGCGAUUUGGUGAAGGAAGCUAGGAAGAAGGAAGGAGCGCUAACGAUUUGGUGGUGAAGCUAGGAAAAAGGAUUCCAGAAAGGAGCGAGUGCGAUUUGGUGAUGAAGCUAGCAGGCGGCUUGGCUUGGCAACCACACGGAGGAGGCGAGCAGGCGUUGUGCGUAGAUAGAGGAUCCUAGACCAGCAUGCCAGUGUGCCAAGGCCACAGGGAAAACGAGUGGUUGGUAAAAAUCCGUGAGGUCGGCAAUAUGUUGUUUUUCUGGAACUUAUGGUAACCUUUUAUUUAUUUUCUAAUAUAAUGGGGGAGUUUCGUACUGAGGUGUAAAGGGAUUUAUAUGGGGAACGUAGGCCGAUUUCCGGGUGUUGUAGGUUUCUCUUUUUCAGGCUUAUACUCAUGAAUCUUGUCUGAAGCUUUUGAGGGCAGACUGCCAAGUCCUGGAGAAAUAGUAGAUGGCAAGUUUGUGGGUUUUUUUUUUUUUUUUUUUUUUUUUUACGAAUUUGAGGAAAACCAAAUGAAUUUGAUAGCCAAAUUGAGACAAUUUCAGCAAAUCUGUAAGCAGUUUGUAUGUUUAGUUGGGGUAAAUGAAGUAUUUCAGUUUUGUGAAUAGAUGACCUGUUUUUACUUCCUCACCCUGAAUUCGUUUUGUAAAUGUAGAGUUUGGAUGUGUAACUGAGGCGGGGGGGAGUUUUCAGUAUUUUUUUUUUGUGGGGGUGGGGGCAAAAUAUGUUUUCAGUUCUUUUUCCCUUAGGUCUGUCUAGAAUCCUAAAGGCAAAUGACUCAAGGUGUAACAGAAAACAAGAAAAUCCAAUAUCAGGAUAAUCAGACCACCACAGGUUUACAGUUUAUAGAAACUAGAGCAGUUCUCACGUUGAGGUCUGUGGAAGAGAUGUCCAUUGGAGAAAUGGCUGGUAGUUACUCUUUUUUCCCCCCACCCCCUUAAUCAGACUUUAAAAGUGCUUAACCCCUUAAACUUGUUAUUUUUUACUUGAAGCAUUUUGGGAUGGUCUUAACAGGGAAGAGAGAGGGUGGGGGAGAAAAUGUUUUUUUCUAAGAUUUUCCACAGAUGCUAUAGUACUAUUGACAAACUGGGUUAGAGAAGGAGUGUACCGCUGUGCUGUUGGCACGAACACCUUCAGGGACUGGAGCUGCUUUUAUCCUUGGAAGAGUAUUUCCAGUUGAAGCUGAAAAGUACAGCACAGUGCAGCUUUGGUUCAUAUUCAGUCAUCUCAGGAGAACUUCAGAAGAGCUUGAGUAGGCCAAAUGUUGAAGUUAAGUUUUCCAAUAAUGUGACUUCUUAAAAGUUUUAUUAAAGGGGAGGGGCAAAUAUUGGCAAUUAGUUGGCAGUGGCCUGUUACGGUUGGGAUUGGUGGGGUGGGUUUAGGUAAUUGUUUAGUUUAUGAUUGCAGAUAAACUCAUGCCAGAGAACUUAAAGUCUUAGAAUGGAAAAAGUAAAGAAAUAUCAACUUCCAAGUUGGCAAGUAACUCCCAAUGAUUUAGUUUUUUUCCCCCCAGUUUGAAUUGGGAAGCUGGGGGAAGUUAAAUAUGAGCCACUGGGUGUACCAGUGCAUUAAUUUGGGCAAGGAAAGUGUCAUAAUUUGAUACUGUAUCUGUUUUCCUUCAAAGUAUAGAGCUUUUGGGGAAGGAAAGUAUUGAACUGGGGGUUGGUCUGGCCUACUGGGCUGACAUUAAUUACAAUUAUGGGAAAUGCAAAAGUUGUUUGGAUAUGGUAGUGUGUGGUUCUCUUUUGGAAUUUUUUUCAGGUGAUUUAAUAAUAAUUUAAAACUACUAUAGAAACUUCAGAGCAAAGGAAGUGGCUUAAUGAUCCUGAAGGGAUUUCUUCUGAUGGUAGCUUUUGUAUUAUCAAGUAUCUCUUCGUUAUCAGAAGAGUUGCUUCAUUUCAUCUGGGAGCAGAAAACAGCAGGCAGCUGUUAACAGAUAAGUUUAACUUGCAUCUGCAGUAUUGCAUGUUAGGGAUAAGUGCUUAUUUUUAAGAGGUGUGGAGUUCUUAAAUAUCAACCAUGGCACUUUCUCCUGACCCCUUCCCUAGGGGAUUUCAGGAUUGAGAAAUUUUUCCAUCGAGCCUCUUUAAAAUUGUAGGACUUGUUCCUGUGGGCUUCAAUGAUGGGAUAGUACACUUCACUCAGAGGCAUUUGCAUCUUUAAAUAAUUUCUUAAAAGCCUCUAAAGUGAUCAGUGCCUUGAUGCCAACUAAGGAAAUUUGUUUAGCAUUGAAUCUCUGAAGGCUCUAUGAAAGGAAUAGCAUGAUGUGCUGUUAGAAUCAGAUGUUAUUGCUAAAAUUUACAUGUUGUGUUGUGAUGUAAAUUGUGUAGAAAACCAUUAAAUCAUUCAAAAUAAUAAACUAUUUUUAUUAGAGAAUGUAUACUUUUAGAAAGCUGUCUCCUUAUUUAAAUACAAUACUGUUUGUCUGUAGUUUAGUGUUGGGGCAAUCUUGGGGGGGAUUCUUCUCUAAUCUUUCAGAAACUUUGUCUGCGAACACUCUUUAAUGGACCAGAUCAGGAUUUGAGCGGAAGAACGAAUGUAACUUUAAGGCAGGAAAGACAAAUUUUAUUCUUCAUAAAGUGAUGAGCAUAUAAUAAUUCCAGGCACAUGGCAAUAGAGGCCCUCUAAAUAAGGAAUAAAUAACCUCUUAGACAGGUGGGAGAUUAUGAUCAGAGUAAAAGGUAAUUACACAUUUUAUUUCCAGAAAGUCAGGGGUCUAUAAAUUGACAGUGAUUAGAGUAAUACUUUUUCACAUUUCCAAAGUUUGCAUGUUAACUUUAAAUGCUUACAAUCUUAGAGUGGUAGGCAAUGUUUUACAUUAUUGACCUUAUAUAGGGAAGGGAGGGGGUGCCUGUGGGUUUUUAAAGAAUUUUCCUUUGCAGAGGCAUUUCAUCCUUCAUGAAGCUGUUCAGGAUUUUGAAUUGCAUAUGAGUGCUUGGCUCUUCCUUCUGUUCUCCUAACUUCACAGAGAAUGCAGUUGUCUUGACUUCAGGUCUGUCUGUUCUGUUGGCAAGUAAAUGCAGUACUGUUCUGAUCCCGCUGCUAUUAGAAUGCAUUGUGAAACGACUGGAGUAUGAUUAAAAGUUGUGUUCCCCAAUGCUUGGAGUAGUGAUUGUUGAAGGAAAAAAUCCAGCUGAGUGAUAAAGGCUGAGUGUUGAGGAAAUUUCUGCAGUUUUAAGCAGUCGUAUUUGUGAUUGAAGCUGAGUACAUUUUGCUGGUGUAUUUUUAGGUAAAAUGCUUUUUGUUCAUUUCUGGUGCUGGGAGGGGACUGAAGCCUUUAGUCUUUUCCAGAUGCAACCUUAAAAUCAGUGACAAGAAACAAAUUCCAAACAAGCAACAGUCUUCAAGAAAUUAAACUGGCAAGUGGAAAUGUUUAAACAGUUCAGUGAUCUUUAGUGCAUUGUUUUUGUGUGGGUUUCUCUCUCCCCUCCCUUGGUCUUAAUUCUUACAUGCAGGAACACUCAGCAGACACACGUAUGCGAAGGGCCAGAGAAGCCAGACCCAGUAAGAAAAAAUAGCCUAUUUACUUUAAAUAAACCAAACAUUCCAUUUUAAAUGUGGGGAUUGGGAACCACUAGUUCUUUCAGAUGGUAUUCUUCAGACUAUAGAAGGAGCUUCCAGUUGAAUUCACCAGUGGACAAAAUGAGGAAAACAGGUGAACAAGCUUUUUCUGUAUUUACAUACAAAGUCAGAUCAGUUAUGGGACAAUAGUAUGA
rnacentral:lncRNA from 1 species